rnacentral:rRNA from 1 species
GCUUUAGGUCUAUUUAGGGGAACCUGUCUCUUAAACCGAUAAUCCACGUUUUAUCUGACCUUAUUUUGAUCUUAUAGUGAGUUUUUGCUAUGAAUUUAAUUUUUUUGAUAAACAGUUUGUAUACCGUCGUCUAUUAGGUUAUCUUGUAAGAGUUAAAAAAUUGCCGAGAUGGAUGUUAAAAAAUUAGAUAAUAUUAUUUAAUUUGGUUUUGUAUCCAAAAGGUCAGAUCGUGGUGCAGCUUAUGAUAAGGGGAGGAUGGGUUACAAUGGUUGAUUUAUAUAUGCGGAUUUUGUUUUGAAAUAAAUAAAAGAAGUUGGACUUGAUAGUAAUUGUGAUUAAAAUUUUAUAAUUAGAAAGUCAUAGUGAAUUGAGCUUUGAAGUGUGC